GGUGGACAGGGGAGCAGGGAUAGGAGCAGGAAUAGAGUACUCUCUCUAGUUUUUUUUCAUCUGUGUGCGGAAUGAGUUUUGUUCUGGGUGGCAGUAUCAAGGCAGUGUGUGUGCACGUGCAUUCAGAGUGGGGCCUACCUGAUUAAACCGGAGCAGAAUCUUAACAUUAACUGAGCGGACAUCAAAAAAUGUGUGAGCGCAUGCACAAGCGCACACCUUAGAGGGAACACUGGUGGCAGGAGGGCCGCAAAACUGCAAGUCCGUUGGACGCACAGUUCCACAUUUCAUCUUAAGAAUCUGCUAUCUCAGCCUUUCCCAAAGGCUCACACCACAUGAGAUCUCCAGCAGCAAAAUACCCAUUAAAAUCUAAAACACUGUAUAGUUUAAAAAAAGAAAAAUAGUUAUCCCAUACCAGCUUAAGCUAAGCUAUUGAUCAAGAAUAUCCAAAGCAUGAUCAACAAUGGUACUUUAAUGGAUCUCCUCAGAACAGGGCAUCCACAAUCGCAGGACAACCAUCAUUCCACUGACGUUCAGAUUUAGCACACUGAUAGUACAGGAUCUUUUCCCUGAUCUGCAGAGCACACCAGAAUGUAAAGGGGAAAGGAGAGAAGUUUCUAAAGGCAUGAUUCAUACAUGACUACAGACUUAUUAUUAUCCAAAACAUCUGGAUAAUGUACAGACUGAAGAAAAAAAAAAGAUUGAUUGAUUGAUUUUGGCUAUAUACCAGUGAUGGAAGAUUGUGGGUAUUCAUGAUCUGAAUAUAGCGAGUGCCACCGAACUGAUGGAGGACAAAACAGGGAAACCAAAUAUGCUCCUUGUGGUUAUCAAUACACACUUGAUGACAUCUGGGUCAAUUACACUGGCAUUUUCAAAAUGUGCACAUCUCUUUAUAACUGCACCCCCUUUCCAAGGAAUCCCAGGGGACUGUAGUUCUGCAAGGGGACUAGGGAUAUAAAACAAAGUAUUCCCAGCAGCCCCGCCAAACUAUGAACACUGCCAGAUUUGCCCUUUGUCAUUGCUUUUUCAUAAUGAGUCAGAAACCAACUUGUAUUGCUACCUACACACUGUAAUGGAGUGUGUGUGUGUGUGUGUGUGUGUGUGUAACACACUAAAAAGGAGUGCUCUCUUUCCCUUA